GAAUUACGAAAUUUGAAAUACAAAAAUCAAUCUAUGAAAUGACUAUUGUUGCAGGAUUGCUGUAGCAAACACACAAUGAAAACUGAGGAAUCGUUGAAAUUUCCAUCGCACGCUGUAUCCCGCCUACAGUUUUCAUGUCUCAUUUUUAGUUCAGUACACAAUUUUGUCAAUUGUGGAUUGAUCCAAAUUUUUAUUCCACAAAAAUUUCGAAACUUAUGUAACGUGUUCGUUUUUUGGCUAAAAGUGUAAACAUGCCUGGCAAAAAGCGUAGUAUCACCAAAAAAUCAACCAUUUCUGCUCCGGUGGCAAUUGCCGAAUCGGCUGUGGUUGCUGCGCCACCAGCUGCCGCAAGUGCUCCAACCAAAUCUCCUGAAAAGAAGACCAUCAAAAAGAGCAAAACGAAGAGCAAAACCAAAACCAAAACCAAGAAAGCUUAGAAGGUGCCAAAAUGCCAGGCUCAAAAUGAUGCACAGGGCAAAUAUUAGAUGGAUCUUGAGCACUAAAGAUACCCAAGCAUGAACACAAUUUAAAGCUUGGUCGAAUAU